rnacentral:lncRNA from 1 species
CUUCCUCCUGCCCUGAUCUUGUAAGAGGUGCCUGCUUCCCUGUCGCCUUGCGCCAUGAUUGGUUCCAACAUGAGGGCCCUUGAACUCUCCUAUGGCGAGAGGCCAUCUGUUUCCUGCUGGGAUCCUGACUGAGAGGAUGGUGCCUUCACAGACCUCACAUUUCAGUGAGGGGGAGGGUCAGCACAAAGACUGACCCUUUGGGGAUCUGGGACUCAUGACUCAACCGGUCUUGUGGCCCCACCCAGAUGCAGACUCAGUACAUGUGGACCAUUUUCUGCACCCCUGUGAUUUCAUGCCUAACCAAUAAGCAGCACCCAUUCCCUAGCCUCCUGCCCACCAAACUGUCCAUAAAAACCCUAGUGUCCAAGGCUUUGGGGAGAAUGAUUUGAGUAGUAACUCCAGUUCUUCUGCGUGGGCCAGCCUCGUGUCAGUGACACCUCUUCUCUACUGCAAUGCCGUGGCCUCGGUAAAUUGAUUUUGUCUGUGCAGUGGACAGGAAGAGCCCAUCGGACGAUUACACUGGCCGGGGGCCUGCUCUGAGGAUGCUGACGCCAAGGAGACUCAAGAGAGCUGGCAAAGGCCGGGAACAGCCCAAGGUGGUAAAGAUACCUGAAAUAAGAAUCACGCACAUCUUGAGAUCAAGAUGAAUAUCUUAAUAUUUCAGCUUAUGAUAAAGACAUUUGGUGAUCGAAACUUUUCUCUACCCAGAGUCAGUCACAUGCUGCAGUCAGUCUCCAUAUCUGGUCAGCUCCUGCCAGAGCCAACCCUUCUGCAGACAGCAGCUGUCCACGCUGGAGAAAUUACAAAAAAUAACUGCCUGAUGCCAGCGGAGAGUGAAUAAGAUGAAACCAAUUCUGGAAGGGCGUUGACACUUGGAAGAAAGGAGGGCAGCAGGGAGCUUCUGUCAUGAAGGCUGUGGUGGUGGCGGUCGUAGCCAUGACAAAUGACCAAAGGAAAACAGAAAACCGCAGGCUUUCUGGUCUGCAGAGCCAGCAGACUAAGCUCAUGGCAGCCGCAGCUGAUAAAAAGCAAGUGAGCACCCAGGACAGAAAAGGCCACAAGGAGGAGCCUCAAAUCCUGUGGGUAAACUCUGCCCAAAUUAGAUCAUCAGAGCUUCAGCCUUUGGUGACAGAAGCCCUCAUCUGCACGUCUUCCCAGCAAAAUGGAAAGCGAGCAUUCCCCAUACAAAAACCAAGUGCACUAGACUUCCAGCCACUGGGCUGAGCUCUUCCCCCAACUCCGACUCUCCACCGCUCCCAGCUGUCCUAAUUGAAACUCAGAGUGGAAUACCAAGGUCUUUUUAAAACAAACAAACAAUAUUCAAACUUCUCAUCAAGGACGCAGUUGAGAAAACAGCAACAGUUUGUUGUUGAGCCACAAAUUAAGCAAAACCUUGCUUCUGACAAAGGACAGAAAAUGUAGAGGAUUUCUACAAUCCAAAGAACAAAACAGCCCAAUACAAACUUGAAACAUAUUUGAACAGGCAUUUCCCAAAGGAAGAUAUACAAAUAUUCAAUAAGUACAUGAAUGAAUGCCCAGUGUCAUUAAUAUUAGCUAAAAAGGACAUGAUGGGGGCAACUGGUACAAUGUGAAUAUGCACUAUGGAUUACAAAAAUUAUAUCAAUGUGAAAUUUCUUAAUUUGAUAAUUAUACUCUAUAUAAUAUCUUGUUUUUACAAAAUAGAUACUGAAAUAGGCCUAUCAUACUCAAAAGGUUGUGAAGAAAUGGUGUAUGUCUACCGUGUAUUUAUACCUUCUCUACAUGCUAUUCUCCCUCUGUCUCUCUCUCUCUCUCUCAGCAAGAUGAUAAAGCAAAUGGGGCAAAACGCAAAUAAUUGCUGAGUCUAGUUAAGGAGUAUAGAGGAGUUUCAUUCUCUAUUCUUGCAAGUUUUCUUUAAGUUUAAAAUUAUACAAAAAUAAAUUACAAAACAUCAAAAACACUAAAAAGUACUGAAGUUUUCAAGGACCAAUGGGGUCUUGUCAACCGGACAAAACAGUGGCAUGAAGAAGCUACCACUGGCCAAAGUUGUGUCUGUCUCUGCAUCAUAAAGAAAAGUGAUUGGAGUGGAUUGAAAUGCAUUGACUCAGUGACAUCCACAAGCCCAUGGUGACUAUGCAAAAAAGAUCCAGAACAAAGGGACUUGUCACCUUUGAAGCAUCUGCUAAACUAACACCUCGCUUAUAAAAUUGGUCAUACAAGGGAAAGAAUGAAAGGUUUUAUUCUGUUUUUCUAGGAGGAGCUGCAUUUCAUGGGAACCAAAUAAAUCCAUGAUUUACAGCCUAAUAAAUUCAGAAGGAACAGUGGAGUUGGAAAAACACCAUCUCGCAAACCAUACUUGUAGUGGGCUGAAUCAUGACCGCAAAGAUAUCAGGCCCUAAUCGUUAUCUGGGGUUAACUAACAGUGGAUCAACCAGAUAGGCUAUGCCUUAGGCUGUAAUGAAGGAGGAAGUCUGUAACACCACAAAUGUGAAUUCCAGCUAAGAACAUUACCGUGAAUCCACCAAACCUUUAGCUCCAGCUUCUUUGGCAGUAAGAAGUGCCCAGAGCUUAAAGAACAAGAGAGCCCAGACAAGCCCAGAAGAUGAGAUAUUCUGCCAGGCAGCCCGCCCAGUCCCUUCAAAGCCAGCAACAUGAAAGGGACUGCACUGAAUGAAAAGAAUGGGGUGCAGGGAUUUCCAUGAAGCUGACAGCCUCCAGCUUCAGACUCUGCACAGGCACAGGCCCCUUGCAAGGUCCAGACAGGGUGUCCACCUGGCCCUGUGUUUCAUCUAUUUUGCAUUAGUGAAGGAUUUUAACCAUAAUCGUGCCUCUGCCACUUUCCCCUCUAAUUUCAAUCAGACAUGUGUCCCCUCAGGUGGAAGGGCAUUGAAGUGGCCACAGGCACUUUUAGAAUCUGUUUCAGGGGCACUAAUUGAAUUGAAUCAAGGGUGGAUGUGGUGGUUUGGGUUCCAGAGAGUAUUUGUGUAUGCCACUGGUUUGCAGUAAUUUUCAUAUGUAGUACAGUUUCUGCCACCUGUCCUGGAGUAGUAUCACUUCCAGAAAUACUUCUAACACUCAUUUUGCUACUUACCUAGAAUUGAGACACGUAAGUGCAGGGUCAAACUUCAAAUCCCAGUAUGAACCUGUCCUCCAGCUCCAGCACCAUUGCGUGUGGGAGUGCAGAAGAAAUUAGGUUCAAAGUGCACUGAGUCAGAAGCUGGGCUAUGGAGAUCAUUUCAAUCAUCAGAAGUGGAAAACUGUAAGAGUGCGCUGAUGCCUGCUUCUAACCAGAAUAUCUCCUGUCAGGGGCGUAAUGAUAUAUCAUAUAUAUUUUUUUCUUUUUUUGAGACUGGGUCUCAACUCUAUUGCCCAGGCUGGAGUGCAGUGGUGCGAUCACAGCUCACUACAGCCUCAACCUCCUGGGCUCAAGUGAUCAUCCUGCCUCAGCCUCCUGAGUAGCCAGAAUACCAGGCUAAUCUUUGUAUUUUUUGUAGAGAUGGGGUCUUGCUAUGUUGCCCAGCUGGUCUUGAACUCCUGGUGCUCAAGUAAUCCUCCACUCAGCCUUCCAAAGUGCUAGGAUUACAGAAGUAAACCACCAUGACCAGCCCAUCAUAUAUAAUUUUUUUUUUUUUUUGAGAUUGAGUCUCGCUCUGUCACCCAGGCUAGAGUGCAGUGGCACGAUCUCAGCUCACUGCAACCUCCGCCUCCCAGAUUCAAGCGAUUCUCCUGCCUCAGCCUCCCGAGUACCUGGGAUUAUAGGCGCAUGCCGCAACUCCUGGCUAAUUUUUGUACUUUUAGUAGAGACAGGGUUUCACCAUGUUGGCCAGGCUGGUCUGGAACUCCUGACCUCAAGUGAUCCAUCCACCUCGGCCUCCCAAAGUGGUGGGAUUACAGAAGUAAGCCACAGUGCCCUGCCCCUGUCAUAUCUAAUUUUGGAUAAGAAUCCAUGCAAUUGGAUUCAUCAGCACACCUGUUUGUCAUUUGCAAUCCUGUAGCAGUUUCGUGCACGGUGUUAUGUUUGUAUGUGAAGAUGAAUGUUUUAUGCCCCUCAAUUAUCAGUAAUGAACAAACCACACUAAAGAAAGAGUGUAAUUAUCUUGCUAAUAUCCCUAUAGAAAAUAUUACAAAAUAGUUGUAAAAAGAGGCAAUCAAAGAGUAUGCUGGAAAAAAAUGCAGGAAAAGACGUAUUACAGAGUUGUAUUAAGCAGUGAAUUCAUAACAAUAUUCUGAUAGUUUUCUAGAUUUUGUGCUGCUUAUCCACUUUUCAUUUGUAAUUUUAUUAUAAUUUAUUUUCCUAUUCUAAAUAAACAUUUGUUUUAAUCUAAU